rnacentral:rRNA from 1 species
GAGUUGGCUUAGGGAUACGUUCGUUGGGUAGGGGAGCGUUCUGUAAGCCUGUGAAGGUGUGUCGUGAGGCAUGCUGGAGGUAUCAGAAGUGCGAAUGCUGACAUAAGUAACGAUAAAGCGGGUGAAAAGCCCGCUCGCCGGAAGACCAAGGGUUCCUGUCCAACGUUAAUCGGGGCAGGGUGAGUCGACCCCUAAGGCGAGGCCGAAAGGCGUAGUCGAUGGGAAACGGGUUAAUAUUCCCGUACUUGGUGUUACUGCGAAGGGGGGACGGAGAAGGCUAUGUUGGCCGGGCGACGGUUGUCCCGGUUUAAGCGUGUAGGUGUGUGUUCCAGGUAAAUCCGGUUCACUUUAACACUGAGGCGUGACGACGAGGCACUACGGUGCUGAAGCAACAAAUGCCCUGCUUCCAGGAAAAGCCUCUAAGCAUCAGGUAACACGAAAUCGUACCCCAAACCGACACAGGUGGUCAGGUAGAGAAUACCAAGGCGCUUGAGAGAACUCGGGUGAAGGAACUAGGCAAAAUGGUGCCGUAACUUCGGGAGAAGGCACGCUGACACGUAGGUGAAGUGAUUUACUCAUGGAGCUGAAGUCAGUCGAAGAUACCAGCUGGCUGCAACUGUUUAUUAAAAACACAGCACUGUGCAAACACGAAAGUGGACGUAUACGGUGUGACGCCUGCCCGGUGCCGGAAGGUUAAUUGAUGGGGUCAGCGCAAGCGAAGCUCCUGAUCGAAGCCCCGGUAAACGGCGGCCGUAACUAUAACGGUCCUAAGGUAGCGAAAUUCCUUGUCGGGUAAGUUCCGACCUGCACGAAUGGCGUAAUGAUGGCCAGGCUGUCUCCACCCGAGACUCAGUGAAAUUGAACUCGCUGUGAAGAUGCAGUGUACCCGCGGCAAGACGGAAAGACCCCGUGAACCUUUACUAUAGCUUGACACUGAACAUUGAGCCUUGAUGUGUAGGAUAGGUGGGAGGCUUUGAAGUGUGGACGCCAGUCUGCAUGGAGCCGACCUUGAAAUACCACCCUUUAAUGUUUGAUGUUCUAACGUGGACCCGUAAUCCGGGUUGCGGACAGUGUCUGGUGGGUAGUUUGACUGGGGCGGUCUCCUCCUAAAGAGUAACGGAGGAGCACGAAGGUUGGCUAAUCCUGGUCGGACAUCAGGAGGUUAGUGCAAUGGCAUAAGCCAGCUUGACUGCGAGCGUGACGGCGCGAGCAGGUGCGAAAGCAGGUCAUAGUGAUCCGGUGGUUCUGAAUGGAAGGGCCAUCGCUCAACGGAUAAAAGGUACUCCGGGGAUAACAGGCUGAUACCGCCCAAGAGUUCAUAUCGACGGCGGUGUUUGGCACCUCGAUGUCGGCUCAUCACAUCCUGGGGCUGAAGUAGGUCCCAAGGGUAUGGCUGUUCGCCAUUUAAAGUGGUACGCGAGCUGGGUUUAGAACGUCGUGAGACAGUUCGGUCCCUAUCUGCCGUGGGCGCUGGAGAACUGAGGGGGGCUGCUCCUAGUACGAGAGGACCGGAGUGGACGCAUCACUGGUGUUCGGGUUGUCAUGCCAAUGGCACUGCCCGGUAGCUAAAUGCGGAAGAGAUAAGUGCUGAAAGCAUCUAAGCACGAAACUUGCCCCGA